UGCCCUAAUCUUUCUCUCCUUCUGCCCUCUUGAUUCCCUGUAGAUUCCUCCUGUUGACCAAAACCAAUAGGCACAGAGUCCAGGCAGUUCCUAGGGCACAGAGAAGGAUAGGGAAUGGACGUGGAUGGGUGGAUGGAGAAGAGUUGGCACGCUGCCCUACCUAAGGUGGUCCUCACCCCCUCCUCACCCCAUCACGCUCAUGCCUGCACCUGUGUUGCUUUUCUUCCAUUGUGAGACCACCAUCAUGCUCUGAAAUUGUCCUGGGUCUGGAGGCUCCAGCACACGGAGGUGUCUAGGUUCAAAAGCCACAGGACGUGAGUUCAAAUCCAUCCUCUGCCUCUCAUAGCCAAGUGAUCUCAGAUGGUACCAUGCCUUGAUUUCUGGCAGGAGCCCAAAAUGCAGGUCAACUUUCUGGGGAUAAUCGUUUCUACAAGUGGAUGAAAUGCUGAAGACUAAAGCCCCGCCUGGCAUCGUGAAUGCAACGCCAUGGCCUCCAGAGAUAUGCUGCUUGGGCAUCGGGGCAUCUUGGAUAAAUCAAGAGAAGAAUUUUGUUCCCAAGCAUAUUAAAGCUGAAGAAGUCAAAUGUUUAUCUAAAAUUAGAAUUAUACUGAUUAAAUGUAAGAGAUUUAAACUCA